rnacentral:rRNA from 1 species
CCUACGAGAGGCAGCAGUGAGGAAUAUUGGUCAAUGGACGAGAGUCUGAACCAGCCAAGUAGCGUGAAGGAUGACUGCCCUAUGGGUUGUAAACUUCUUUUAUAUGGGAAUAAAAUGUUCCACGUGUGGGAUUUUGUAUGUACCAUAUGAAUAAGGAUCGGCUAACUCCGUGCCAGCAGCCGCGGUAAUACGGAGGAGCCGAGCGUUAUCCGGAUUUGUUGGGUUGAAAGGGAGAGGAGGUGGAUUGUUAAUGCAGUUGUUAAAGUUUGAGGCUCAACCGUAAAAUUGCAGUUGAAACUGGCAGUCUUGAGUACAGUAGAGGUGGGCGGAAUUCGUGGUGUAGCGGUGAAAUGCUUAGAUAUCACGAAGAACUCCGAUUGCGAAGGCAGUUCACUGGACUGCAACUGACACUGAGGCUCGAAAGUGUGGGUAUCAAACAGGAUUAGAUACCCCUGUAGUC